CCCACGAGCUGCGAGAGGCUCCGUCCCUGACACCAUCCACAGUCACUGGAAAGGACCUAACAGUUGGGACCCCGGAGACUCCACAGGACCGAGGCGGAGGUCGGAAGUUGCAACGUCGGGACCAGAAGCAAAACCCUGGCGGUUUUGCGAAGUGAGAGCCCGCCCCCGCUGCCGGAACUGUCGUAUCUCUCAACGGCAAUCAAGCUGCCAAAAGGGGUGGGAAUGCGUCAUUUAUACGUAAUCCGAGAGGCCCUGCAUCUCACAUCACCCCACGGUGCACCCUCGCAUCACGUGACAGACCCGUCCCCGCUUUCCGGACCACGGAACGUGACGCUAGGGCCGUCACGUGUGUCCCGGCUUCCGACAACUCCGUCUGCGGAGCACCCCGCUCUCCACCUGGUCGCGGGCGCCCGGGCUACGCCCCUCCAGCUCUCACCGGGCGGGAGAGGGCGCUGACUAACGCCAGAGACUUUUUGAGGCAGUGGGUGGUAGGACCCUUGAUGAAUUCGGCUCUUACUUCUUUUGGGUCCAGGGGCGUGGGCAGACUGAAGACGGAAUUUGGGGCUGUCAGCAUCAUGGGACCUUGAAAUUAAGGAAAUAAUAAGAUCCAGCGUCAGAAUUGCAGGGUUUUGAAGGCAGAGAAUCUGGGGGUGGGAAAUGACCUCAUCCGAGGCAGAAAUCUCUUCUCCCGCACACUCCUGGCACGACCGCUGACAGGUGGGCGGAGGGCACCCUGCUUGAACACUGCAGUCCCGCUGCACUCACCACCUGAUGAGCAACGAGACCAUUUCAGGGCACCUCAGGCUGAGAAGAGUGUCUGAAUCUCACCGAGCAGUUUGUCUUUUGCACUGGGCUCUACCCUCCGGGGCCCCCGCCCCCCGCCAAAAUCUGCACACAUUCCACAUUAGAGUGGACUGUGAGCACUUGAA